rnacentral:rRNA from 1 species
AGUUUGAUCCUGGCUCAGAUUGAACGCUGGCGGCAUGCCAUACACAUGCAAGUCGAACGGUAACAGGUCUUCGGAUGCUGACGAGUGGCGAACGGGUGAGUAAUACAUCGGAACGUGCCCGAGAGUGGGGGAUAACGGAGCGAAAGCUUAGCUAAUACCGCAUACGAUCUCAGGAUGAAAGCAGGGGACCGCAAGGCCUUGCGCUCACGGAGCGGCCGAUGGCAGAUUAGGUAGUUGGUGGGAUAAAAGCUUACCAAGCCGACGAUCUGUAGCUGGUCUGAGAGGACGACCAGCCACACUGGGACCGAGACACGGCCCAGACUCCUACGGGAGGCAGCAGUGGGGAAUUUUGGACAAUGGGCGCAAGCCUGAUCCAGCCAUGCCGCGUGCAGGAUGAAGGCCUUCGGGUUGUAAACUGCUUUUGUACGGAACGAAACGGCUCUUUCUAAUAAAGAGGGCUAAUGACGGUACCGUAAGAAUAGGCACCGGCUAACUACGUGCCAGCAGCCGCGGUAAUACGUAGGGUGCGAGCGUUAAUCGGAAUUACUGGGCGUAAAGCGUGCGCAGGCGGUGAUGUAAGACAGAUGUGAAAUCCCCGGGCUCAACCUGGGAACUGCAUUUGUGACUGCAUCGCUGGAGUGCGGCAGAGGGGGAUGGAAUUCCGCGUGUAGCAGUGAAAUGCGUAGAUAUGCGGAGGAACACCGAUGGCGAAGGCAAUCCCCUGGGCCUGCACUGACGCUCAUGCACGAAAGCGUGGGGAGCAAACAGGAUUAGAUACCCUGGUAGUCCACGCCCUAAACGAUGUCAACUGGUUGUUGGGUCUUCACUGACUCAGUAACGAAGCUAACGCGUGAAGUUGACCGCCUGGGGAGUACGGCCGCAAGGUUGACACUCAAAGGAAUUGACGGGGACCCGCACAAGCGGUGGAUGAUGUGGUUUAAUUCGAUGCAACGCGAAAAACCUUACCCACCUUUGACAUGUACGGAAUCCUUUAGAGAUAGAGGAGUGCUCGAAAGAGAGCCGUAACACAGGUGCUGCAUGGCUGUCGUCAGCUCGUGUCGUGAGAUGUUGGGUUAAGUCCCGCAACGAGCGCAACCCUUGUCAUUGGUUGCUACAUUCAGUUGAGCACUCUAAUGAGACUGCCGGUGACAAACCGGAGGAAGGUGGGGAUGACGUCAAGUCCUCAUGGCCCUUAUAGGUGGGGCUACACACGUCAUACAAUGGCUGGUACAGAGGGUUGCCAACCCGCGAGGGGGAGCCAAUCCCAUAAAGCCAGUCGUAGUCCGGAUCGCAGUCUGCAACUCGACUGCGUGAAGUCGGAAUCGCUAGUAAUCGCGGAUCAGAAUGUCGCGGUGAAUACGUUCUCGGGUCUUGUACACACCGCCCGUCACACCAUGGGAGCGGGUUCUGCCAGAAGUAGGUAGCCUAACCGCAAGGAGGGCGCUUACCACGGCAGGGUUCGUGACUGGGGUGAAGUCGUAACAAGGUAACC